UUCAGAGGGGGACAACAGUUGGAAACGACUGCUAAUACCGCAUAAGACCACGGUGUGGCAUCACACAGAGGUCAAAGGAGAAAUCCGCUGAAGGAUGGGCUCGCGUCCAAUUAGCUAGAUGGUGAGGUAACGGCCCACCAUGGCGACGAUUGGUAGCCGGACUGAGAGGUUGAUCGGCCACAUUGGGACUGAGACACGGCCCAGACUCCUACGGGAGGCAGCAGUGGGGAAUAUUGCACAAUGGAGGAAACUCUGAUGCAGCGACGCCGCGUGAGGGAAGAAGGUCUUCGGAUUGUAAACCUCUGUUGUCAGGGACGA
rnacentral:rRNA from 1 species